GUCUGGUGGGUAGUUUGACUGGGGCGGUCUCCUCCUAAAGAGUAACGGAGGAGCACGAAGGUUGGCUAAUCCUGGUCGGACAUCAGGAGGUUAGUGCAAUGGCAUAAGCCAGCUUGACUGCGAGCGUGACGGCGCGAGCAGGUGCGAAAGCAGGUCAUAGUGAUCCGGUGGUUCUGAAUGGAAGGGCCAUCGCUCAACGGAUAAAAGGUACUCCGGGGAUAACAGGCUGAUACCGCCCAAGAGUUCAUAUCGACGGCGGUGUUUGGCACCUCGAUGUCGGCUCAUCACAUCCUGGGGCUGAAGUAGGUCCCAAGGGUAUGGCUGUUCGCCAUUUAAAGUGGUACGCGAGCUGGGUUUAGAACGUCGUGAGACAGUUCGGUCCCUAUCUGCCGUGGGCGCUGGAGAACUGAGGGGGGCUGCUCCUAGUACGAGAGGACCGGAGUGGACGCAUCACUGGUGUUCGGGUUGUCAUGCCAAUGGCACUGCCCGGUAGCUAAAUGCGGAAGAGAUAAGUGCUGAAAGCAUCUAAGCACGAAACUUGCCCCGAGAUGAGUUCUCCCUGAGACUUAGAGUCUCCUGAAGGAACGUUGAAGACGACGACGUUGAUAG
rnacentral:rRNA from 1 species